AUGGAGUUUGACCUGCCCUUCGUGGUAUGGAGUUUGACCUGCCCUUUGUGUUGUAUUGUAUUGUUGUAGAAGUGUUGUACUGAUGCGUUGAAAUGUCUAAAAGAAAUGUGAUGAUUAUACUGAUUGAAUAGGUGCACAUUAUGUGGUUUAAGGUAUUGACUGGUAUAUAAAUGGUAUAUGUUUACUAUGAUUGAUUUGAGAUGAUUGUAUUGGUUUUUAUACUUUAAUUAUAUUACUCUAUGUAAUUUUACGCUACGGUCACCGUAGAUGUUGCUGUUGCGUCGUGAAUGUUUGCUGAUAGGAGUAUAGACUGGAGUAGUUGUUUUUGUAUUCCAAAAUUGUAUUUGUACAAUGUAUGUAAUAUGAGGAAUAUGUUGAAGUAAAUGAUCUCUUUCAAAAUAUGUAAUAAGCAUUAGCAUAUUACCUUUAACAGUGUUGUAAUUGAAACAAAAGAUAAUUGUAUGAAUUAUGGAUUA